rnacentral:lncRNA from 1 species
CUUGGCAAGUGCUCCCGAGGCUGGCUUCUCAGAUUUCUUUUAGAAAUCUGACUGGGGUUUCCAUUCCUCGUCCAGCUGACCAGGCACUGAGGAGGAGCCCGGAGGUGGAGGUCAGGAGCAGCUGGAAGAGCAGGAGGAGCCCGGAGGUGGAGGUCAGGAGCAGCUGGAAGAGCAGGAGGAGCCCAGAGGUGGAGGUCAGGAGCAGCUGGAAGAGCAGGAGGAUCCCGGAGGUGGAGGUCAGGAGCAGCUGGAAGAGCAGGAGGAGCCCAGAGGUGGAGGAAAGUAUGAAGCAACUUUCUGUGCCAGGCACCGUGCUGGCUUUGCCCCGGGAUGGGUGAGGAAGCUGUGGAAAGAGCCAGUUGUUCGUGCAGGCAUGGAUGACUAACGUGAGAGAUGAAGAAGCCCUUUCUCUGGAGAGCCCUGAGUCACCAUGAAAGAUUUCUGGCCACCCUGCUGAAGAGGCCACAUGGGGAGGCCACAUGGAGAGGAGGAGAGGUCCACUGAUCCAGCAUUUUAGUUGAGCUUCCAGCUGACUCCAGCCUCAAGCUUUAUCUGAAUGCACCUGCAUGAGAGACUUCUAAGCAAGACCAGCAGAAGAUCCACCCGCUGAUCCCAGACAACCCAUGGAACCAUGAGAGAGCCAAUAAAAUUGUGGUGGUUUUAAAGCCACUGAGCUUUGGAGUGGUUUGUGAUACAAUGAUAAAUAACAAAAGCAAUCUCACUGAUGGUGAGUCUGGCUGGCAUUCCUGAGCCUUGUGCCAC